rnacentral:misc_RNA from 1 species
UCGUGCAAAACGUGUGAGAGGUGCACCUCGAGGUUGUCGCUGAUGCUCGUGCACGCCGGAGCAUGUCCUCUCACAUGACACAAUCCAUCUCACCCUUUGUGCACCACCGCGUGGGCACCCUUCGGGAUCAGACCGAUCUCUCAGGGGACUCGCGUUUUCACACAACACACCCCCCUUUUAAAAAGUGUAGAAUGACCUCAUUUAUUUGAUCAGUA